UACAGAGGUCUCAAGCGUUGUUCGGAUUCAUUGGGCGUAAAGGGUGCGUAGGCGGCGCGGUAAGUCCGGUGUGAAAACUCGAGGCUUAACCUCGAGAUGUCAUCGGAAACUAUUCGGCUAGAGUCCGGAAGAGGAGAGUGGAAUUCCUGGUGUAGCGGUGAAAUGCGCAGAUAUCAGGAAGAACACCUAUGGCGAAAGCAGCUCUCUGGGACGGUACUGACGCUGAGACGCGAAAGCGUGGGGAGCGAACAGG
rnacentral:rRNA from 1 species